rnacentral:misc_RNA from 1 species
GAAAUGCGAUAAGUAAUGUGAAUUGCAGAAUUCAGUGAAUCAUCGAAUCUUUGUACGCACAUUGCGCCCGCCAGUAUUCUGGCGGGCAUGCCUGUUCGAGCGUCAUUUCAACCAUCAAGCCCCGCGCUUGUGUUGGGGACCUGCGGCUGCCGCAGGCCCUGAAAACCAGUGGCGGGCUCGCUGUCACACCGGGCGUAGUAGAUUUUAUCUCGCUCAGGGCGUGCUGCGGGUUCCGGCCGUUAAAAAGCCUUUUUUACCCAAGGUUGACCUCGGAUCAGGUAGGAAGACCCGCUGAACUUAAGC